AUUGGGGCAAACAUUGGAGCAACUGCAUGGUUAUUAGUAUGAGACCUAGAGGUCACAAGUUUGACUUGUGGAAAUAGUCUUUUGCAUAAAAUGUGGUGUAAGGGAUCUGGACCAAGUGCCCGACACCAUAUACCCUACUCAUGUGGCCUUGACUUGUGCACUGGGAAUUAUAAUCAAUAGCUUUGAAAAGUGUGAGGUGUUUUGAUACAUUUGUUCUUAAAGCCGAGUCGCGAGAUGUUUCAAAGCGUUUGGAUAUGGAAAGUCGAGGUGCAAGAUGAGGCUUCAUAUGUGUGAGGGGUUUUUAAAGCUCUUAUUUUUUUACAUGUUAACCUUUUAAUAAUUCUCUAAAACCUGUAUUCUACCAGCUCUGUUUUGAUACCUUUAUUUCUAAGCAAUUGAUGACCACCCAGAAAUCAAAGCAUGGUAUCGCUUUUUGCAUGGACAGAAGAGAAAGGCGAUGAAAAGAAGAAAAAGGAAGUCGAGGGUUUGCCAGCAUUCCCUGUGGGCAAGAUUGAUCGGAUUCGAAUGUGGAAAGUAGGUGAAUGGGUUCAGGCUGUCCGACCCAUGGGUGAUUUAGGACCAUUGUAUCCUUUCAUAGCUGGCAUAGGCCUAUCCGUCACGAUGCAGACGUAGAUACCGUCGUACACCGUAAACGAUCAUAACCAUCACUAUCAUCGACGAAAAGGGCCAUGGGAAUGAAGAUGGUGGUGUAACUCAAAGUGCUUCAGCUUGGUUGCCUUGAACUCAAUUUUAACAAAAAUGGUGGUGCAACUAGAGGUACAAGUGGUGAGCCACAGAGAAGAGCUGUAGUUGCUGCAUUAUCAGAGGUUUUUACUGAUGCCAAAAUCGAUGAACCCUCUCUUGACUCACUUGAGAAGCCUAACAAACUGCCUGAAGAGCCUGUAGAACCAUCUGAGCCUAUUCCCGAAGAAGCAAUUCAGAACCAAAAGUGGCCUUCAAAAGUAUAACUUGCUGGUGGCUGGCUCGAGAUUAUUAUGAAUUAGAAUUAGACCUUUCAGGUUUGAGCUUUGAUAUUUGUUGUUUGAUGUUAUUGUUAGCAUGGUGUGCUUCCGGCUUAUGAAUCCUUCUUAACAACUCCUUAGCUGAUGGUAUUUUUACGCUUUUAUCCACUCACUAACUCACACACUCGAUCUGAUCAAUCAAAUUUAUUAUCUCC